rnacentral:lncRNA from 1 species
UGUUCAUAAGGUGGGUCCUUGUGUGCAGGUAUCAGCCGAGAAACAAAAUAUCUAGCUUGAGAGCUUCCCUCCUGUCAUUAACCCAAACCAACAAGUUGAUCAGUUAGGCCACAAAAAGAUAAAACUUAGGACAAAGGUGCACAGAAAUGGAUUGCAAAGAAUCAAGGGAAGAAAAACCUUGAAUGCAAGGAUUCUAGGUGCUGGAAACCGCAAUUCAGUUAUCUCUUCAGCUAAUGUUCUGCAGGCAGCUAAAGCAGCUGCACUUCUUCCUUCAUCAGCGGCUAGCUCAGCACCCUGUAGUUAGCAGUUAUUGAGAAAGUAUCUUUGUAUAUCAGGACAUAAAUGCCAGCCGACACAGAAAGAAACUUGAGAAAUAGACUAGUGGACUCAAACCAACACUAGUUAGGUACAUGCAUGUGCAUAGCAAUCAGAUAUCCUCUCAGAAACAGGCAGUCGUGGUGAGGAAAAUUAACAUAAAAGCUGCCAGCUGAAAAUAUAGAAAUUGAUAUUUAAAUGGAAGACUGGCAUCAUUACAGGUACUAGCACGCUUCUUACCUUCAAUCUAUUACUUCAGAAUUAGAAAAAAAUGCCUCUAAAUUUCUUUUUUUAUUGAAUCACAAAAGGAUUCCUUUUUCUGAAACAAUUAUAAGCAGGGAAGCAAUAAAUGCUUUCCCUUUGUUUCACCUAUCAAUAUUUCUGCCAGGAAAUGUCAUGCUUGAAUGUUUUUCCAUCACCUGAAAUUAGAUCAUUACAUAAACCAUAGCACAGUCAAGUGUUUGUCCCCUCCCUAUAUCUGCAAUAAAUUCUUGAAUUUCCUUCCCGGUCACAAACUUUAACAGAAAAUACCAAAUUUUAUAUCCAUGACACAAAAGUGCUCACAAACCAUGCAAAAACAGACAGCAGACACACCCACAGUUGAAGAUGCUCAGUUCAUGAGAAACGCAGGGGAAAUAAACAUACAAAAUAAAAAUAUUCAAUAAUUAGCAAUAUCAGGGAAUUGCAAAAGGAUGGCAUCAUAAAACAGCAAGAAGAAAAGUCAAGUCACUUACCAACCAAAUGAAGACAUCUGUACCAUGGUCAAGAACAACAGCUGUAUCAGACUGCAUUGCAAGGUCAUAAGCUGGAAGUUCCUCAAAAGUGCCCCCUUCCCGGUACAUUAGACAACGAGGUGCCACCAUACGGAGUGAAAGGUCAAAAGAUGCAUUCAAAAACAAAUUCCGCAGCACAGACCUCUCAUCUUCAUGACCAACAAUGCUUCCCAAAAGAGGGCCCUUCUAAGAUGGAAAAGGAGCCCUGGUAAUGCAGAGAGUUCUUUAGGAAAUCGAUGAAGUUUUGACUUGGGUACUAGGGACCCAAAUUUUAAAGCAAUGUCUUUAAUUCUUUCAUCUAUUGUUCCACGCAUAUCCAUGGCAUCUGAAUGGUUUUUGGCUCGCAAGAGGGUUCUCUUGGCAAUAAGGAUUGCAGCCACUUCAUCUUGAAAACUUUCAAGAUAUGCUGAAACACUAUCCACAGUAGGCAACCUGACAGUAACCACUCUUGAAAUAUCAGCUUGAUACACGUUUGUGUAUUGAACAGUAAACUGGAAAAAUACACAAUCGCUCUUGAUGUCUCCUUUAGUUUCCAUAGAGAUUGCAAAGCUUUGUGUUUCUUCAACACUUAGCAUUUGAAUGCAGAGCGCAUUGUCAUUCUUGAAAGUUUCGUGUGUGUCUACAUGCGCUUCUUCACCAGGACCCACAACUUGAGUAAUUAAAAUAUCAUCAGAACAUCGAAUCUCCAACAAACCAUGGGAACCUGAUGCCCUAGAAGAUGCCCUUUGCAAAUUCACACCAAAGGCCUCCCCAAAGUCAUCGUGAAGAACCAAAACACCUCCAGAUGCCUUUGCAAGCGGCUGCAAAACUGGAAUUCUAACAGGGCAAGUUCCAGCACACAGAAUGUCAACUACUGUAUUAUUUCUAUGCGCUUCGCGGCCCAGGUUCUCCAUCCAUUUCAAGGCUGUUUUUUCCAGAUGAGGAUAAUUUGGGUGGCUAAAAGAAUGAGGAACUGAUCCAGGGCCAUAUGUAUUAGGCCCGCCAGCACACACGAUGAUCCUGCUAUUGCCUCCAUUCCUUUUAACUACACCUCGGGACAUUUCUGCUGAUGGUCCUCGAAUUAUAGCCAGAGCAACCUCAACUGCAGUACCCAGGCACCGAUCUCUUAAAGCUUCUGCAAUGUUUGAUUUAUACGGUCUCAAAGAUGAGAAUAUUUUGUGCGCUACUUCCUUUGAAGCAUGCAUCGGUGACAAGUACACCAGUUCCGUAGAUCAAUGCUUUCAAGGACUCUUGGAUAGGUGAUUUGUCACCAGGAAGUACAUCAGCAGAUGCCAUUGAUUCCUCUGAAAAAUCAUAAACUGACACUGUACGACCAUAAAGUAUUAUUCCAAUUCUUGCUGUAGGGGGGAGUGAGUGAAUCCGCAAAUGCAUGCAAAGAGCUUUGUAAAUGCUGCAGGUGGGGUUCAUCUAAACAGUCAUCUAUAACAAGUACAACGGGUGCAGACAUUCUGGAAUCAGAAACAGGAAUAAAACCAGGUCUCUUGUUCCCAGUUUGAACAUAAUCAACAAUGGGAGAUGAAAGUUCUGGAAAGUUGCGAAGAUCUUCUUUGCUUGGAGCUACAUAUUCACCUUCACUUCCAUUCAGUAUCUGGCAAAUCACACAUUGCCACUGGCCUGAACCAAGUAAUAUCUUGCAAUAAAGAUUUGCAUAAGCUCCACAAUUGUGGCAACGAUGAGGAUCGCGCUGUAAUAUUUGAGGACCUGGAAAAAUCUCUCUCCCGGGAGAAAAUAAUGCCCCAAAGCCCAAACUUGGAACAUUUGUUAGUUUCUUUUGCUUCAAGACCUAAUAACAAAAUGAACCGAGCUCGAGUUCAAUUGAAAAUUGCAACUCCAAUGUAAACAAAAAAAUCACAAGAUUCAAGGAUAUAUAUAGGUGAGGCAUUUGGAAAGAAAGGAUAAUCUGACAACAAUUUAUUAACCAAACAAAAAGGUGCUCUCAAAAUCACAACAACAAUCUCAUAAAAGACAGAAAAGAAAAAAAAUUCCCACAACAAUUGGUGCCUUCAGUUUGUACAGGAGAGAGAAUGAUAGAGAUACCUUGUGAGCAGAGAACAAAGCACAUGAUGAUUCAUUGACAAGUGUCGAGUCCUCUGUAGCAAGGGGAACUUGGUGCUGCAACUCAACUGAACCAUUUAAAAAAUGAGGAGGCGAGGAUGUUGGCAAUGUUGAGCCUGAUGAGAAAGCAAUUGGUUGAGGAGUUGCAGGAGAAGUCCGAAAAGGCACAGCAGCAGGCCGGACUGGCGAUUUAAAAACAGGAGGACCAGGGGGGGUGCUUAGAUGAGGAAGGGGGCUCCUAACCCCAUUGGCAGGUGACAACAAAUUUGGGUUCUGGAAAAAAGGGGAAGGGAUCUGAUCUUGUAGCAAUUUAGGAGGAGGAAAUCGAGGAGCUCCAGGUAACAUUGUAGCAGGAGGAGCUGAAUUUUUAUCUAGUUGAGGGGUUGAUGAGUCAGAGUUUGAGGGAGUAACAGUAGAAUAUCCAAGGGAAGGUGGUGGUGGAUUAGUCAUUGCAAUUCAAAGUUUCUCUAUCGAAUAAUCAAGAAUAACCUAGAAGCCAAAAUCAAACUCUAUAGAAAGCUACAGACAGUUGUAUCCCAGGGCCAAUUAUGACAAGAGAAUUCAAAGUGACAACUUUGAGACUGUCAAUUGAUUAUUGAUUGAAAUUCAAUUAAGAAUCAUAAACAAAACAGCCUACAAAGGUCUGAUACACCGGCAGCUCAAGAAUUGCAAUCCAAUCUCAAUAUUGAUGCGGAAGAAGAUACCGAAUGGGAUGACCUUGACAAACCAAAACCCCCAAGUAAAAUCUAAAACCCCAGAGCAAGAAAGGGCUUUGAUGCAAAUCCAGUUCAAGAAAUCCCCAGUAAAAUCAAGAACCCAACUAAAGAACCAAAAUUAUCAGCUUCAGAGAUCAAAUUGAAUGCAAGAAAACCUGAUCUCUCCGCAUAAUUGGGCACCAAAAUCUUCCUCUCGCACAGACAUCUGAAAGAAAAGGAGACCAGUUAGAAUUCCACUUUGUGUCAAGAAAAAGGAUCUAGUUUUCUUCAGCAAAACAAAACCAAUAUUGAAUGAAAUUGAGACGAGGACAGUAGAAUCGACGUACCUGAGAGGGAAAGAAGGAAAAUUGAAAGAUUUGCAGAGUAAAUCUUCAGUCCCUUUUUUAAAAAUCUUAAUUAAAAAAUGGAAAUAUUUUCGAAGUGAUUUUAUAAUCUUUUUGGAUUCUGGGUCCUUUGUCCUCGCAAGCUAGGGAGCUCUCUCUCGUCUCCUGUUGUGUUCGAUUUUCCUUUUACACGAGAGGGAGAAGACAGCAACGUUGCAGUUUGGUCCACAUAAAGUCAACAGGCCAUUUUUUAAUUGUCUUUCUGUAACAGGAUGAAUCGCGAAUGAAGAUCUCCGAUGUCGUUCCAACCCUUCGUUAAAUUAAUUCAACUUCCUCCGAAUUACGGCCCUCGUUACUUUGCGCCUGCAAAGCCCCACUCUGUGAAUCGAAUAAAAAGAAAACACUAAAUUACAAAUUACGUUUACAAAAUAUUAUAAUAAAACUUUAUCAAUAAGAUAAAUUUACACGUUUAUAUAAAAAAAUUAUCUAUUUAUUUUUUUAUUAUCAUCAUCAUUAUUUUUAUUUUAUUUUUAAAAUGAUUUAGGAAAAAAAACGUUAAGGUAAAUAUUUUAAAAAUAUUAGUUCUAACAUUAAUUUUUUUUUAUUAGAGUGAAUCAGGAAUUGAACUCUAAAUUACUUUCAUAUUAUUUGGAUCUCCUUUGGGAACUGCAAAUGGAAAACUUCACGAAGAAUCAUGCCUGAAAGAGGCGGAGCAAAGGAGAUCCGACAUGCCAUCAAAAUAACGGUGAAGAUGGGACAAAACCAGGAAGGCUUUAUUGCUCAUCCAAAGCAUUUCAACCGGGAAACAGUAUAGGACGGGGACCACUUCAAACCUUUUCAAGUGACGGUGAGUACAGAUGUUUUCUUUGUGAAAAAAAAAUAUUAAGGAUGAGAUCAUAGCCGCCGAAGACACCAUCCAGGUUACACCCCCUCGACCACGGAAAGAACAAAAAAAUAGAGACGGGAGAAGAUGGGUUUCCACGGGCGAGGCAGGAUGCAGUUCCCAAGACUCCCUUUUCUUGGAAGUACAUUAGCAAUUAAAUAAUGUAAAACUACAAAUUAACUUGGUUCUGGGGGCACCACUUUCAGACUCCGCAUCCACUCGCAGAAACUUGGAUCAUCAAAGUGAAUAAAGCUGCUUUUUAGCUUUGUUCGUUGUUCUGUUGUCAGAGAUCGAAGCUGCGGGAAUCUUGCCUCCUGCAAUCAAGUUCCAUCAAUUUGGUAAAAAUCCAACACUAUAAGCCUACUAAUAUUAUUGACCAAGAGCUUAUUUUUCUCUUUUCCACCAUAACCUGUUCAUAAGGUGGGUCCUUGUGUGCAGGUAUCAGCCGAGAAACAAAAUAUCUAGCUUGAGAGCUUCCCUCCUGUCAUUAACCCAAACCAACAAGUUGAUCAGUUCGGCCACAAAAGGAAAAAACUUAGGACAAAGGUGCACAGAAAUGGAUUGCAAAGAAUCAAGGGAAGAAAAACCUUGAAUGCAAGGAUUCUAGGUGCUGGAAACCGCAAUUCAGUUAUCUCUUCAGCUAAUGUUCUGCAGGCAGCUAAAGCAGCUGCACUUCUUCCUUCAUCAGCGGCUAGCUCAGCAC